rnacentral:lncRNA from 1 species
GAAGAGUUUCAUAAACUGGAGACUGGAUGCUAUUUCUACUAUAAUUCACCCCAGGGGGCUGCUUUUUCCCAUCUCUCCUCCCUAGUAUUUUGCUAGCUAAUGCCAAAAAUGUUGACCCUCCACUCUGCCCUCAAAGAAACCCUCCUGCCAGGGCUGGUGGCUACAGCUUUCAGCCACACACACUCAGGAAUCAAAUUUUGCUGGUAAUAUUAAGGAAGGGCAUCCACAAUUGUCUGAAAAGGCUAUUAAAAACUGCUUCCUUUUUCAACUACAUAUCCGUGCCAGGCUGGACUUCCUUCAUGCGCCUCAACCACAGCAGCAUAUUGCGUGGGAUUGCAUGCAGAAGCAAAUGGGAGAUUCAACUCUCUUUCAUGCUCAUUCACUACAGAGAUUUGCAAAAAUGUAAAACAAUAGCGCUUGUAUCACUACAUUUUUUUCUUGUUUGCAAAAUGUAAUUAUUUUCAUAAAAAUGUGUAGUUUGUGUUUCUAUGUAGUAGGUUGAUUAUUUUUUAAAUGAAUUUUUUAAAAAUUUAUUUUUAAAAUGAAAAUUUUAUAAUCUUCUCAGGUUUGAUUUCCCAUAUAGUUAAUAUCAGUAGCUACCACCUGAAUAAUAGUAGACCUACUCCAAAGGGUUGUUGUGAG